GAUGCUGACGAGUGGCGAACGGGUGGGUAACGCGUAGGAAUCUACCCAGUAGCGGGGGAUAGCCCGAGGAAACUCGGAUUAAUACCGCAUACGCCUUAAGAGGGAAAGAGGGCCUCUUCUUGAAAGCUCUCACUAUUGGAGGAGCCUGCGUUGGAUUAGCUAGUUGGUGGGGUAAAGGCUCACCAAGGCGACGAUCCAUAGCUGGUCUGAGAGGACGAUCAGCCACACUGGAACUGAGACACGAUCCAGACUCCUACGGGAGGCAGCAGUAGGGAAUAUUGCACAAUGGGGGAAACCCUGAUGCAGCCAUGCCGCGUGUGUGAAGAAGGCCUUAGGGUUGUAAAGCACUUUCAGUAGGGAGGAAUUAGUAUAGUUAAUAGCUAUGCGGAAUGACGUUACCUACAGAAGAAGUACCGGCUAACUCCGUGCCAGCAGCCGCGGUAAUACGGAGGGUACGAACGUUAAUCGGAAUUACUGGGCGUAAAGCGCGCGUAGGCGGUUUAUUAAGUGGGAUGUGAAAGCCCCGGGCUUAACCUGGGAACCGCAUUCCAAACUGAUAGACUAGAGUACGAUAGAGGGGGGUAGAAUUCAGAGUGUAGCGGUGAAAUGCGUAGAUAUUCUGAGGAAUACCGGUGGCGAAGGCGGCCCCCUGGAUUGAUACUGACGCUGAGGUGCGAAAGCGUGGGGAGCAAACAGGAUUAGAUACCCCGGUAGUCCACGCCGUAAACGAUGUCUAGCUAGCCGUUGGGAGGCUUGACCUUUUAGUGGCGCAGCUAACGCGAUAAG
rnacentral:rRNA from 1 species